rnacentral:rRNA from 1 species
AUUGAACGCUGGCGGCAGGCCUAACACAUGCAAGUCGAGCGAGCGGCGGACGGGUGAGUAAUGUCUGGGAAACUUCCUGAUGGAGGGGGAUAACUACUGGAAACGGUAGCUAAUACCGCAUACCAUCAGAUUUUCCCAGAUGGGUUUAGCUAGUAGGUGGGGUAAUGGCUCACCUAGGCGACGAUCCCUAGCUGGUCUGAGAGGAUGACCAGCACCACUGGAACUGAGACACGGGCCGGACUCCUACGGGAGGCAGCGUUGGGGAAUAUUGCACAAUGGGGGAAAGCCGGAUGCAGCAAUGCCGCGUGUGUGAAGAAGGCCUUCGGGUUGUAAAGCACUUUCAGCGGGGAGGCGUUACCCGCAGAGGAAGCACCGGCUAACUCCGUGCCAGCAGCCGCGGUAAUAC